CCCACGCCCUUCGGCUGCCACCGGAGCCAAUCACACGUUGGGGACAAUACUGGUGUGACGUCACGGUGAACGGCCUGGACACCGUGCGGGUUCCCAUGGACGUGGUUCAGUUCCUGCACCCCAAAACCAAACGCUUCCGCCAUUGGCAGCAGCAGCAGCAGCAGCAGCUGGAGAGCAGCAGGGAGAGGCUCCUCUGACCCCCCCUGAAGAUUUGGGGGUCCCCGGGGUGGAUUUGGGGGUCCCCGGGGUGGAUUUGGGGUCCCCAGAAUGGAUUUGGGGGUCCCUGGGAUGGAUUUGGGGUCCCCAGGGUGAAUUUGGGGUCCCCAGAAUGGAUUUAGGGGUUCCCCCCUUUUUUGGGAACCUGUGGGAUUUCCCAAAGGAAUCCACCAUAAAAGGGGAUCAGGAAUUUUUUUGGGACAUCCCAAAAUUUUUUUUUGGGGGGGGGGAUCCCAAAGUUUUUUGGGGUCUCAGAGAUUUUGGGGGGGGAUCUGGGAAUUUUGGGGA
rnacentral:lncRNA from 1 species